rnacentral:lncRNA from 1 species
UUUACUUCUGCUUUUACUUCUGAGUGACUACCGGGUCCUUAAGAUAGGAUUUCUCAGUCAAGAUAUUUCCAAAUUAUUUUCAACAACACUUCCCAGACCAGUCAGCAUUUUGUAAGACUGUCUGUUUGCCCAUAUUUUGAUACCAGUCUUUAAAAUUUUGUCAAUCUAAUUGGACAAUUAUUUUAGUUCUCUUAAAACUGAAAUUAGAAAUAAACUUUAAUGCAUGAUGUUUAUUAGUUACUUUUGAGGUGCUGAAUUAAUUGUUUUUACUCUUUUUAAU